rnacentral:rRNA from 1 species
UACGAAGGGGGGCUAGCGUUGCUCGGAAUCACUGGGCGUAAAGGGCGCGUAGGCGGGCCCUUAAGUCAGGGGUGAAAGCCCAAGGUUCAACCUUGGAAUUGCCUUUGAUACUGAGGGCCUUGAGACCGGAAGAGGUCGGCGGAACUGCGAGUGUAGAGGUGAAAUUCGUAGAUAUUCGCAAGAACACCAGUGGCGAAGGCGGCCGACUGGUCCGGUUCUGACGCUGAGGCGCGAAAGCGUGGGGAGCAAACAGG